UUGCGGCCAUCGGCCGCUACGAUCACUCGGAAUAGGGGGUCGUCGCUGGGCUCACCCGCGUCUGAGGUCUGAGCUAGCUAACCCGUGUUGAUUACUCGAUUGCUGUUCCAUUCUGAAAUUAGUUGUUUUUAUCAAUCGGCUCUACAAAUUGGUGACCAAGAUCUUGAAAAUUUAACUUGGUACAAAGUUUAACAGAGAGUAAGAAAGGCUCAGCAGGAUGUGGGAAUUUUAAAUUAGGUUUAACUACCACAGGGACCACAGGCUUUGUUGCUAGCUAUGGUCAACUAGUCCAGCCUCCUACUGAACUUUAAGGUGCCUCUUAAUUGGAGAAACAUUAUUUUUUAGUAAUGGACUAAUGUAUAACAUGAAAUUUUAUGCUGGAGUCCUUGGGCCCCUUUUGACAACAAUUGGCAUUUGUAUGUAGAGUACAGAAGUUUUAAUCCGGGAAGAGAAUUGGCCUAGGAUUUAUCAAAAGUAAUUGGAUGUAUUGGUAAUUGAUUUGUUUCACUUCGGGGUGGAUUCUUUCAAUAAUAAUGUUGUUACUAAAUGCACUUUAAUUAGGCUUUUAGGCAUCCUUAAUUUUGUGUUAGCUCCAUUGGUGAUUGCUAUGGCAACUACUCUAUGCUUUCUUCAAUAAAUGCAGAAGUUUUGAAAAGAGAGCCCGGAAGCCUUGGCGCUCGCAGGUGGUCAAUAAAUAAGAGAUUAUAUUUG
rnacentral:lncRNA from 1 species